UACGUAGGUCCCGAGCGUUGUCCGGAUUUAUUGGGCGUAAAGCGAGCGCAGGUGGUUUAUUAAGUCUGGUGUAAAAGGCAGUGGCUCAACCAUUGUAUGCAUUGGAAACUGGUAGACUUGAGUGCAGGAGAGGAGAGUGGAAUUCCAUGUGUAGCGGUGAAAUGCGUAGAUAUAUGGAGGAACACCGGUGGCGAAAGCGGCUCUCUGGCCUGUAACUGACACUGAGGCUCGAAAGCGUGGGGAGCAAACAGGAUUAGAU
rnacentral:rRNA from 1 species